CCUGCCCUUGACUCUGGGAUAAGCCUGGGAAACUGGGUCUAAUACCGGAUAUGACCUUCCAUCGCAUGGUGGUUGGUGGAAAGCUUUUGUGGUUUUGGAUGGACUCGCGGCCUAUCAGCUUGUUGGUGAGGUAAUGGCUUACCAAGGCGACGACGGGUAGCCGGCCUGAGAGGGUGACCGGCCACACUGGGACUGAGACACGGCCCAGACUCCUACGGGAGGCAGCAGUGGGGAAUAUUGCACAAUGGGCGCAAGCCUGAUGCAGCGACGCCGCGUGAGGGAUGACGGCCUUCGGGUUGUAAACCUCUUUCAGUAGGGAAGAAGCGAAAGUGACGGUACCUGCAGAAGAAGCGCCGGCUAACUACGUGCCAGCAGCCGCGGUAAUACGUAGGGCGCAAGCGUUAUCCGGAAUUAUUGGGCGUAAAGAGCUCGUAGGCGGUUUGUCGCGUCUGCCGUGAAAGUCCGGGGCUCAACUCCGGAUCUGCGGUGGGUACGGGCAGACUAGAGUGAUGUAGGGGAGACUGGAAUUCCUGGUGUAGCGGUGAAAUGCGCAGAUAUCAGGAGGAACACCGAUGGCGAAGGCAGGUCUCUGGGCAUUAACUGACGCUGAGGAGCGAAAGCAUGGGGAGCGAACAGGAUUAGAUACCCUGGUAGUCCAUGCCGUAAACGUUGGGCACUAGGUGUGGGGGACAUUCCACGUUUUUCCGCGCCGUAGCUAACGCAUUAAGUGCCCCGCCUGGGGAGUACGGCCGCAAGGCUAAAACUCAAAGGAAUUGACGGGGGCCCGCACAAGCGGCGGAGCAUGCGGAUUAAUUCGAUGCAACGCGAAGAACCUUACCAAGGCUUGACAUGGACCGGACCGCCGCAGAAAUGUGGUUUCCCCUUUGGGGCUGGUUUACAGGUGGUGCAUGGUUGUCGUCAGCUCGUGUCGUGAGAUGUUGGGUUAAGUCCCGCAACGAGCGCAACCCUCGUUCUAUGUUGCCAGCACGUGAUGGUGGGGACUCAUAGGAGACUGCCGGGGUCAACUCGGAGGAAGGUGGGGACGACGUCAAAUCAUCAUGCCCCUUAUGUCUUGGGCUUCACGCAUGCUACAAUGGCCGGUACAAAGGGUUGCGAUACUGUGAGGUGGAGCUAAUCCCAAA
rnacentral:rRNA from 1 species